UUCUGCCAGUUCUUGAAUCCUCCCUUCUCCUCUCCUCCCUGCUCCCUCCUCUUUUCUUCCCUUCUCCACUUCCUAACUCCACCUCCAUCCCUCCAGUAGGGGGCAGACAAUCCCAUCUCUUUGUGCUGAACGCCCUUCCCGCACCGCCUUGGUACCAGCCCCUACCCCCAACCCGCCUGAGACUAACUCCUGCGAGCGGCCCUGCUGAGUACUUUCCCCACAAGGAUGGGACUUCUGUGACGAGGAAUUCAUCUACCAGCCGCUGAUAUAAGAAGAAUAUCUUCAUCUCCUUACAUAUAUGGCAGACAAAAAUCAUAAAAUAAUGAAACGUGAAAAGUUGUUCAGUCUCUUCCUCCGCAGAGGAAAACCAUGCAGAAAAACCCAGACAGCUCAAUUUUGCAUAUAAACCUUUCCUUUAUCUGAUGUGGAGGCAGACAAAUGGAGCCUGGUAAAGAAACGCUCAUUGGAGAAAAGAUGUGUCUGUGGAUAUUCAGAUGUACGUACGUGGCAGGAUAUAAUCAGGAGGAAUUACCACAAGGGGAAUUAAAGAAAUUAAAUCUUUAAUUGUCUCAGGCUAAAAUAUCCUGAUACUUCUAUCUUCUAAUCCAGUGGACUCCAAACUUUAUUGAUUGUGUACCCCAAUCGCGAAACUCUUUAAGCCCACAUCCCCAGUGUAUGUAUAUUUAUUUAUG